GAGAGAUGGCAGAGUUGGUCUAAUGCACCUGACUUGAAAUCAGACGUGGAUGAAACAUUCCACCGUGGGUUCGAAUCCUACUCUCUCC
rnacentral:tRNA from 1 species